AUAAAGAUAAACAACGGCGGUUUUAUUCAAACCAAAUGUCGAUUAUGUCUUAUACAGACCUUGGCUUUAUACGAUCAAGCGGCCGAAUUAAUAAAAUAUCUACUUUAUAUACUAAUUACAGGUGAAGAAAUAACAACUUUAACCAACCGCGUACUUCGAUACAAACUUGUAUAUAAAGGUGCACUCGAAUAUAUUUUAAUCCAAACAACUAUUGAUUACUACCGAGAAGGAAAGAAAAGCUUUUUAUCAUUUAUCUUAUGUAAAACACCGAGAACCCUUAGUGAUUAACCAAUGGAAAUCAACUACACUUUUUAGUUUACCCUAGAUACGAACAUGUAAGCAAAAUAAUAACAAUGAAAAUGAAUUGUAAAUUGAAAUAAGCAAUCUAACAUAUAAUUUUAGAUAUAUAAAAACCGAUUCCGCUACAUUCCCCCCAACUUAAAAAGCAAAUGUUUACAUUUGAACAUAUACAUAUAAAAAAAAUAAAGUCACAUUUUAAAGUUCCAGUUGGGUUUAACCACCAUACGAGUUUUCCCGUCGACAUCAGCAAAUGUUGCCACCUGAUCACGUGCGACAAGAUCAUCUGGAGUUUCUAAUUCAUUCAAAUGAAUGGCGUGUUGUCUAACAUAUUCCUCCCGUUGUUGCUGUGCCAUUUCCCUAGGUGUGAGGGCCUCAUAAUAUACCUCAUCGACUUCCACUAUUUCUUCAACUACUUCUUCAACUACUUAUUCAUCAUCAAAGUCGGCGUAGGUUACACCAGCAAUGCGGCAAUCGGCUUCUACCACUGCUUCUUCAGUACUACACGGACUCGGACGAACAUACUUAGGCAGGACCGCAGUUUCAGGGUCUUUGUACUGAGUGUUAAUGACAGUCACGGCGACAACUGACUUCAUUAGAUUUUCCAUGUUCCUACCCGUGACCCAAUGCAUAUCUCUGAUGUGCCGCUUAAGGUCAUUCCGUCUGGUGUCUGUUAUCCCACAUAACGGACACUUAUGGGCAUGUAUUUCCAAUUCAUGAUAUCUUUUCCAGUGGCGGACAAGCUGUCUAAAAUUGAGGUGUCCUGUACUGAGGGUGCCACUGGUCAAGGCAUGCCACCAACUGGACAACCAGGCCUUAAUGCUCUUGUGUCCAUGUCUAAACUAGCCAUGCUUCUCGAAGAUACCGUGUAAUCAUUGCUAAAAUUGAACAACAAUCAUCAUAAAAACAAAAAAAAAGAAGAAACACAAUUACGAAAUGAAUAGAAAAAAAAUUAAACUAACUAUGUGCUGUUCUUUUUCUUUUCUUCUUUUAUUUGUAUGGAUGUGUAGAUACGCGGUAAAAUACAUUCUGAAUAUAGAUUUUGAAAAUAUAGUUCAUUUAAAUCAUAAAGAUGAUAAUUAAACAGACGUGGCGCGACUCUACUACAUCAUGCGCGUGAUUUAAAUCCUGUACCCACAAUACUAUAAUCAAACACCAGGAUUCUAGUCUUACAAGCAAAACUUUCCUCCAAUAAACUCCUAAGGUCUAUAAAAACUUUGGAGGUUCUCUAAACCUAAAUCCAUCAAAUCUACAUAGUUUUAAACCUUAGUUAAGGCAAUCUCACUUGCAAUAUAUACCUAAAGUGUAUAGUGCAGUAAUACGAUUUUUAGUCACUUCGGCCUUAUCGAAACAUACAGCUUUGACGAGCAGAGUUCUUUGACCCAGUGUCAGAGCGAGUAUCAAUCAAUAUUAUGCACGCGUUUAUAGACAUGACACACGAGGCACUGCUUCGAAAUAUAAUAAAAACAGUUUCAUGGAAAAUUCUGUCAUUUCUAUAAACUGGCUCAUAAGAUCCAUGCCGUAUAUUUGUAUCAGUGUAUGAAAUUUUACUAGUUUUAAUAUAAGUAUAAACCAAAAAAAAAAAAAAAAUAACGCAAACAAAAAAAAUAAAAAAAAAUUUAUAUAUAUAUAUGAUGUGUUGUUUAAUCAGUAUGCAGCGAUAAUGUAAACGCAACACAUUAUGCCUUUGAAAUGUGAAAGAGAACUUCUGUAUGUGUGUGUGUUUUAUUUGUUAAAGUCAGCUAUAUGUUAACUCAGCCUAUAAAGCUACAGGUAUUUCUACAUUGUAAUGACGAGUUCCUUUUUAUCGUGUGUAUAAAUCAACAAUACUGUGAGUACGUGUGCCUACUCUUCGAACCCAACUUUACCUAUAAGUACACCGACAAAUCAAUACUUGACAUUGACCUCAAUAUCCUAGUAAUACUAAUUGAAACACCUGUAAUCGACAAUUUAUUAAAUCAAGCGUAAUUGAUCUUAUGGCUCGGAAUAAUUAAUUCCGAACACAAGUCUACUUGAUAUUUCCGACUAUAAAUUGUAUAAAACCGUCUGUUAACCUUAUGUCAAGGUUCGAACCACUGGGCCCCGAGAUUCCUUGGCCUAAGAGAUCCAGAUAAGUAAGUUUAAAUAAUUUAAUAAGGUCUCUAAAUAUAAGAGAUGUAAAAUGAUUGAAUAACAAUACAAGUAUCAAAGUCACAUAAAAUAUUACAUUGUAAAAUAAUGUAAAAGCUCCUAUCAAAAAUGUAAAAUGAAUAUUAAGUUUCGGCUUCUAAACAAAUGGGAUUUUACCGUAAAUACCCUAAACUAUUAAACUUUAUCGUAAUCUCAUUAAAUAUUAAAUUCAAACCCCAAAAAUAUAAAAGCUACUUUACUCAAUUCUUACUAGAACACGCUAUGGUCUAAAACCGGACAAAAUAAAGCAACGAAGAAUCACCCUGAGAAAUUAAAGCAUAUCGGUUUUAUUCAAACCAAGUUGCUGCGUCUUAUUCAGACAUCGGGGUAUAAUACACCCGUAAGCCCUUAAUAAUAAAGAUAAACAACGGCGGUUUUAUUCAAACCAAAUGUCGAUUAUGUCUUAUACAGACCUUGGCUUUAUACGAUCAAGCGGCCGAAUUAAUAAAAUAUCUACUUUAUAUACCAAUUACAGGUGAAGAAAUAACAACUUUAACAAACCGCGUUCUUCGAUACAAACUUGUAUAUAAAGGUGCACUCGAAAAUAUUUUAAUCUAAACAACUAUUGAUUACGACCGAGAAGAAAAGAAAAGCUUUUAAUCAUUUAUCUUAUGUAAAACACCGAGAACCCUUACUGAUUAACCAAUACAAAUUGACUACACUUUUUAGUUUAACCUGGAUACGAACAUGCAAGCAAAAUGAUAAUGAAAAUGAAUUGUUAAUUGAAAUAAGCCAUCCUACUUAUAAUUUUAAAUAUAUAAAAACCGAUUCCGCUACACUCGUACUAAUGUACAUUGGAAACAGAUUACCGUCCUCGUAUCCGAAUACAGUUACAGAGAUAUUAUUUUGGUCUUCAAAUUUGGGAAUCUGUUUUACUUGCACGGGAUAUGAUUGUGCUGUUUCUAGGAUAAACCAUAAGAUAACUAACAAGAAUUUUAUUUGCACAACUUUAUUCAUAUAAGGCACCGACAAGACAUCAAAUGGGUGCGUAGUGCAUCAUUCGAGUAUAAGGUAAAAACUGAAAAGAAAAAAGAAACAUCCUUUACAAUAUGAUCAAAAAAGCAUUCAUAAAAUGUUUCUCUGCUCUAAAAUACAAUCAAGAUGACAAAAAUAAAAUAUUAAUCAAAAGUGUCCCAAAUGGCGUGCCAUACAAACAAAAGUAGUGACGAAUACAUAAAUGUCACGAAUGGCGUUCCAUAGAUCAACAAUUUGCCGGGAGUUUCAUGAACAACUCACAUUUCAAAAAUUAACUUUACAAUAGGAAUAUCAAAUAAAAAUCAUUUACAGGGAUAGAAUAAAAUAUGUUUGACAAUAUUAUCAAUAUAAAAAGCUUACCACGUUACGAGACAGUGAUGAAAUAACAAGAAAUAGUGGUCAAAAUGCUCUCAAAACAAUGCAGAAAGUGAUGUGAUGUUACAAAAAAUAGAGUCAUAUACGGAUCUAAUUCCAGAAUUCCGGACACAGAACAAUGAUAUACCCGUCAUGUUCAACUCGUCUUCAUAUUGUUUAUAAUUUGCAGCCUAUUUAUAUUGAUUGCCUUUGGGUGAAGGUGUGCGAGAAUAGACUAUGCAAAACAUUUUUGGUCGUUAUUACAAAUGUUGGCAAUAAAAUGACUACCCUUGAGUGAAUACGGGUUUGAAUAUAGCUGGAUCCACCUAUGGGAC
rnacentral:lncRNA from 1 species